GAAAAGAAUCCAGUCACAUCAACUGGUGCUCCGUUGACAUCGGAAAUUACAGGUACCGAUGACUUUCAAUUCUUCAAAAAAAAAUUUCUCACCGACGAUUUCAAAAUGAGCAAUGACGUGCAUAAGAAAUUGAAAAGCUUUGAUUGGUUUUGUGGAAAAUGUGGAACAGCGGGUCCAACUGACCAGAUGCCAUAUCUUCACUUGUACAUGGUCGUUGAUUACGCUAACGGAAUAACUGAUCAUAAUAUGAAACAAGAAAUCAACGAGAAACUUGGUUGGCAAGCUUCAAAGUACAUCGCAUUCCGACCAAACGACCCGUCAAAGGUGUGGAAGGUUCGACCUCUCUCCAACAAGUG